GACGAACGCUGGCGGCGUGCUUAACACAUGCAAGUCGAACGGAAAGGCCCUGCUUUUGUGGGGUGCUCGAGUGGCGAACGGGUGAGUAACACGUGAGUAACCUGCCCUUGACUUUGGGAUAACUUCAGGAAACUGGGGCUAAUACCGGAUAGGAGCUCCUGCUGCAUGGGGGGGGUUGGAAAGUUUCGGCGGUUGGGGAUGGACUCGCGGCUUAUCAGCUUGUUGGUGGGGUAGUGGCUUACCAAGGCUUUGGCGGGUAGCCGGCUCGGGAGGGUGACCAGCCACAUUGGGACUGAGAUACGGCGCAGACUCCUACGGGAGGCAGCAGUGGGGAAUAUUGCACAAUGGGCGGAAGCCUGAUGCAGCAACGCCGCGUGCGGGAUGACGGCCUUCGGGUUGUAAACCGCUUUCGCCUGUGACGAAGCGUGAGUGACGGUAAUGGGUAAAGAAGCACCGGCUAACUACGUG
rnacentral:rRNA from 1 species